UUGUUUUGCAGGUGAGGGUUUGGGUGCAUUGCAUUCUCCAUUCACACACACACUUUGUGCAUCUUUUGAGUGAGGCCCUAUACCCGGGUCUGAGUGUAACUUAGAAUUAGAGGAGUUGUGUAGCGGUGUCACUCUGGGAUGUACUUCCUGUCUGGCUAUCGUGAGAACUCCAGCUAGAGUCUGUUCUCUUCACUUGUGUCUCCGCAUCUAGUUGAUUACUCGACUGUUGUGGAAAUGCUAUGAAGGGGGCCAUAGCUCUAGUGACCAUCGACCUUUAGGUUCAGGUAACCAUCCUGGUGAGAUUGCAUAUACUUGACCUUGAAUCUUAAGCGUCGAACCUCCGUUAGGGCACAAAGGGAGAUGUGUGAAGUCUUUUAACCCUCAUUUUCGCUCAAUAAAAUCAUGCACCUUAUGCAUAUUUUGAGUCACUUGUCUUUCUUGCGGAUCUUCAAACUCUUGUUUUUUCGAAAAUAGCAAAAAAAAAAGAAAAAAGUGAUAAAUGAAAAACAAAAGUUGUAGUGUCAGACUUUUCUGAGGUCAAGUGUCUAAUAAAAAAUAACAAUUUGACGUUUCCUUCCUAGAUGUUUGUGCACGUGUUGUUUGAGGACCUUCACCCGUAACUUUUUCAAAACAAGGGAUCGUCCCUAACAAACAUUGUCUCUGUCCUCAAUACCAAAGUAAACCUUUACACCGGGGCAGAUUGGCUUGGCCCAAAGUUUUCUCGGUUGCACUAGUAGGAUGAUCCCCGAAUCCAUUGGGACAAAAAAAAAAAGAAGAAGAAACGACUCAUGUUGAGGUCAUCUAGUCGUAGGAUUAAUCUUUUGAAAAUAAAGCAAUCAGAAUUUGAAAUGAUGUGUGGCCUUCUUUCUUUAUCCAAAAAGCAAAAAAUUAUAUCCAUUAUCACCCCAUUUGAGCCUAAAAUAAAUUCUUUAUCCCCA
rnacentral:lncRNA from 1 species